rnacentral:rRNA from 1 species
UCUGGAACUGCCUGAUAGAGGGGGAUAACUACUGAACGGUAGCUAAUACGCAUACGUCGCAGACCAAAGAGGGGGACGUUCGGGCUCUUGCCAUCAGAUGUGCCAGAUGGGAUACUAUUAGGUGGGGUAACGGGCUCACCUAGCGACGAUCCCUACUGGGUCUGAAAGAUGACCACCACACUGGAACUGAAACAACGGUCCAAACUCCUACGGGAGGCACAUGGGGGAAUAUUGGCCAAUGGGCGCAAGCCUGAUGCAGCCAUGCCGGUGUAUGAAGAAGGCCUUCGGGUUGUAAAGUACUUUCAGCGGGGAGGAAGGUGUUGUGGUUAAUAACCACAGCAAUUGACGUUACCCGCAGAAGAAGCACCGGCUAACUCCGUGCCAGCAGCCGCGGUAAUACGGAGGGUGCAAGCGGUUAAUCGGAAUUACUGGGCGUAAAGCGCACGCAGGCGGGUCUGGUCCAAGUCCGGGAUGGUGGAAAUCCCCGGGGCUCAACCUGGGAACUGAUUCGAAACUGGCAGGGCUAAAGUCUUUGUAAAGGGGGGGUAGAAUUCCAGGUGUUAGCGGUGAAAAUGGCGGUAGAAGAAUCCUGGAGGGAAU